UACGUAGGGGGCAAGCGUUGUCCGGAUUUAUUGGGCGUAAAGAGCGUGUAGGCGGCCAGACAGGUCUGCUGUGAAAACUCGGAGGCUCAACCUCGAGACGCCGGUGGAAACCGUCUGGCUAGAGUCCGGAAGAGGAGAGUGGAAGUUCCUGGUGUAGCGGUGAAAUGCGCAGAUAUCAGGAAGAACACCCGUGGCUAAGGCGGCUCUCUAGUACGGUACUGACGCUGAGACGCGAAAGCGUGGGGAGCGAACAGG
rnacentral:rRNA from 1 species